ACUACCCAGAAAGGGACGGCUAACUACGUGCCAGCAGCCGCGGUAAUACGUAGGUCCCGAGCGUUGUCCGGAUUUAUUGGGCGUAAAGCGAGCGCAGGUGGUUUAUUAAGUCUGGUGUAAAAGGCAGUGGCUCAACCAUUGUAUGCAUUGGAAACUGGUAGACUUGAGUGCAGGAGAGGAGAGUGGAAUUCCAUGUGUAGCGGUGAAAUGCGUAGAUAUAUGGAGGAACACCGGUGGCGAAAGCGGCUCUCUGGCCUGUAACUGACACUGAGGCUCGAAAGCGUGGGGAGCAAACAGGAUUAGAUACCCUGGUAGUCCACGCCGUAAACGAUGAGUGCUAGAUGUAGGGAGCUAUAAGUUCUCUGUAUCGCAGCUAACGCAAUAAGCACUCCGCCUGGGGAGUACGACCGCAAGGUUGAAACUCAAAGGAAUUGACGGGGGCCCGCACAAG
rnacentral:rRNA from 1 species